UACGUAGGGUGCAAGCGUUAAUCGGAAUUAUUGGGCGUAAAGGGCGCGUAGGCGGCCUGACAAGUGGAAGGUGAAAUCCCUCGGCUUAACCGAGGAACUGCCCUCCAAACUGUUUGGCUUGAGACCGGGAGAGGUGAGUGGAAUUCCCAGUGUAGCGGUGAAAUGCGUAGAUAUUGGGAGGAACACCAGUGGCGAAGGCGGCUCACUGGACCGGUACUGACGCUGAGGCGCGAAAGCGUGGGGAGCAAACGGG
rnacentral:rRNA from 1 species